rfam:Ipomoea nil DNA, scaffold: scaffold3056, cultivar: Tokyo-kokei standard.
GUCGUUGUAGUAAAGUGGUGAGUAUCCCCGCCUAUCACGCGGGAGGCCUGGGUUUGAUCCUCGGCAACGACG